UACUCAAGACAGUGGCAAUCA
rnacentral:miRNA from 1 species